UACGUAGGGUGCAAGCGUUGUCCGGAAUUAUUGGGCGUAAAGAGCUCGUAGGCGGUUUGUCGCGUCGGCUGUGAAAACCUGAGGCUCAACCUCGGGCCUGCAGUCGAUACGGGCAAACUAGAGUUCGGUAGGGGAGACUGGAAUUCCUGGUGUAGCGGUGGAAUGCGCAGAUAUCAGGAGGAACACCGGUGGCGAAGGCGGGUCUCUGGGCCGAAACUGACGCUGAGGAGCGAAAGCGUGGGGAGCAAACAGG
rnacentral:rRNA from 1 species